ensembl:lncRNA
CUGAGUCCAUCUAUUGGCAGGGUUUACCUCCAGACCCACACACUCUCUGAGUCCAUCUAUUGGCAGGGUUUACCUCCAGACCCAUACACUCUCUGAGUCCAUCUAUUGGCAGGGUUUACCUCCAGACCCACACACUCUCUGAGUCCAUCUAUUGGCAGGGUUUACCUCCAGACCCACACACUCUCUGAGUCCAUCUAUUGGCAGGGUUUACCUCCAGACCCACACACUCUCUGAGUCCAUCUAUUGGCAGGGUUUACCUCCAGACCCACACACUCUCUGAGUCCAUCUAUUGACAGGGUUUACCUCCAGACCCACACACUCGCUGAGUCCAUCUAUUGGCAGGGUUUACCUCCAGACCCACACAUGAUGUUUAUGGUGCUGUCAAAGUGACCAUGUGGUCCAGUAGAUGGAGUGGUUGUGGUGGUAUAAAGGCCCAUAGCUACACAGACUGGACACAUUAAUCAGUGUCCAAUUUACACAGCACCAUCCAGAGGAGAAGAUGGGUUCUGAACUUCUGAAUGCAAACAUAAAGGGCAUCUGUUAGGCAUUGGGUUUAACAGACCUAGGGCUAGGCUAGACGAAGGGUUUAACAGACCUAGGGCUAGGUUAGAUGAAGGGUUUAACAGACCUAGAGCUAGGCUAGACGAAGGGUUUACCAGACCUAGGGCUAGGCUAGACUAAGGGUUUACCAGACCUAGGGCUAGGCUAGACGAAGGGUUUAACAGACCUAGGGCUAGGCUAGACGAAGGGUUUACCAGACCUAGGUUUAGAGGAAGGGAUCCCCAUGACAACAUCAACUGAAUUACAAUAUGAACAUCUAAAAUGGUGGGUAGCCUGGAGAGGAGGAGGAGGGGGGGUGAAUGGAGAAAUUAAUGAACAGGGUAGAGAGAGCCCAUCCCACCCUCACCAGGGCCUCUCGUCUCUGAAGUCCGCGCCCGCCCCGUUUCUCUCUCUCUCCUCUCCCUGCCUGAUGCUGCCAGCCAGCAGGGAAACUAGGUCACUGAACUCUGUCUGCUCUCUGUUUUUUUGUAUAUAAAUUAAAGCCAAAAGGCUGAACUCUCUCACUCCCUCUCUAGCCGGUCAGCGGUCGCCACAAAGCUUUUCACCAGAGGGUUAGAGUAAAAAACACACAAGCAGGCACACACAAACAGGCACACACAAACAGGCACACACACACACAAACAGGCACACACACACAAACAGGCACAAACAAACAGGCACACACAUACACAAACAGGCACACACACACACAAACAGGCACACACACACACACAAACAGGCACACACACACAAACAGGCAUAUACACACACAAACAGACAGGCACACACAAACAGGCACGCAUGCAGACAGACAGGGUAAAACACUAAAACAUGCAUGUGGCACUCACACACACAGUAAACAAACCCAGAUAUCCAGUAUAAUCCUCUCUGGCUAAAUAUGUUUGGGGUUUGUAAGGAGAGGGUUAAAAUAAGUAAUGUUGUGCAGGAGGCUGCAGUGCAGGAGGCUGCAGUGCAGGAGGCUGCAGUGCAGGAGGCUGCAGUGCAGGAGGCUGCAGUGCAGGAGGCUGCAGUGCAGGAGGCUGCAGUGCAGGAGGCUGCAGUGCAGGAGGCUGCAGUGCAGGAGGCUGCAGUGCAGGAGGCUGCAGUGCAGGAGGCUGCAGUGCAGGAGGCUGCAUGCAGUGCAGGAGGCUGCAUGCAGUGCAGGAGGCUGCAGUGCAGGAGGCUGCAGUGCUGUCUCUGACAAGACAAGGGAGGAUUUGUGCUGUGCAGAUUCACUGCACAUUUCUAUUUCUGCCUCGGCCACUCUUAAUCACUGUGGUCACACACACACACGGAGAGUGCUCCACACAUGGACACACUCUCUAGCCUCCUCUUUGGUGGCCAGCAUUUCUAUCUCCCUCCAGGCAGGCAUGGUAGAAGCAAACCACCUCCAUGUCAGUGGACCAACCUCCAGUGUGAUUUCAGAGUCAGAUGAUGUCACCGGUAACAGGUGUUAAUAAGUAGGCUAGGUUUCCCUGGCAACAGUGGAAUCCUCAAACAUGACUGUUCUCCCCAGUCCAAUCCCCUCUGUCCUUUCAUCCCUUCAUCUCUCUCUCCUCCUCUGUCUCUCUUGCUCAUUGAAGCCAGAGAGAGAUAGAGGAGUGUUCUGGUAGCGUGGUCCCAGAUCUGUUUGUUCAGUCUGGCGAAUUCAUGACAAUGACAAUAGGAGUUGGCUAGACAGCACAAAUGGAUCUGGGACCAGGCUAGGGUUCUAGGCUGCUGGGUGGAGAAAGCUGAAAUUGACACGGAUCCUAUUCCAGGUUCCACAUAUUUCAAUAUAAAAUAAGCUGUUUGAAUCAUUAACCCUUUGGGCACGUUCUGUCAUGUAAUGUUCUGCACUUUUGUCUUCCCCAGGAGUCUAUAUUAUAGGGGAUGUGCCAAUUGCCAACAGUUGAAAAUGUCAAAUGUAUAAGUCAACUGAUUCUCAGUGGGUUGAUAUGGUUCUAUAAUUUGCUGGUUUUGAGGAUCAAUAGCAAUAACUUUUAUGUUGGAUUUAUGUUUUCUUUUUUAGAAUGAACCCCUAUCUGUCAUAGUUGAAAAGAAGCGGUACUUUUUACCCGAAAGGGUUAAAAACAAGAAGCUAAUUGACGCCAAUGAAUAAUGAAGCUAUAACGAGAGUCACAGUAUGUGCUGAACACAGGAACAUCUGGGGCACUAAAUUGUGAUAGCUAGCAAUAUUAGUGCCACUUACAAGGGAUGCCAUUCAUUGACUGAAGUGCCACAGCAGUGCACAAAGGGUUAAUUCAAGACUAAGGCCACCAGAGGCCUGUAUCCAAGUUAUUUUUUGCACAUUUUUUGAGAUAUUUUAAAUGUCAGUAUUUUAAAACAUAUUCCAAGUGCCUUUUAUUAUAAGUGAAAAUAUAGAAGAUAUAAAAGUAUAUGAAAAAUGAAAUAAAUAUAUAUAUAUAUGAAUAUAUAUUUUUUCCUGGGAUCGUGUUCUCGAGGUUCUUGAACAUGCUUCAUUUUAGAGUUGUAAAAGUCUCCCAUUGGUACAACAUAGCUGUGUGCUUCUGUUUUAGAGGAAUUUUAUUACGAUAAUGUCAAUGAAAGAAAAUGUUUAAUAAAGUCGCAUUUGAUACAAUUUAUUUGUCAUUUUUCAGUUACUACAUCCGGAGUGCUGCAUAACACACACCACACCAUAUAUAGUUUUUAAAUCACAUCUCAACUAUAUUUUAAGUGUUAAAAAU